GAAUAAUUGAUUCCAAGAAGGAGGGGCGGCUCCUAUCAGAUCCCAGCAUAAUGACUUGAUAUAAUUAGCGCGCGGCGCUGAGAGAGAGAGAGGGAGAGAGAGAGGAGGGAGCAGGAAAACAUUGAGUGUGGGAGGUUUUUUGCAGAGGGACAGAGAGGGAGGGAGGCUGGUUUUAGGGGAGCAGCCUGUGCAGAUAUACAGACAUACUUGUGCUCUGACAUCAGCCCGAUAGGACGCAGGCACUCCCGCUUCCAGGACGCGUCCCCUCCGCCAGGAAAGGUGAGCCUCCAGGACGCAGAUCCCCCCCAUCCAGCGCAGACGUCUCGAUCGAUCGAGGACGAUGAGGAACGGAGCCGAAGUUUGACGGAAAGGCUCUUUUACGCGCCGCGUCCGCGCGCCCCGCUUCGACGCAGCAGGCAGGAAGGAGGGGAGUUUCUGCGGGAGAAGCCUUUUCCUGAAGGAUGGUGCUGGACAAGGAGGAGAGUGUGUCUCUCGUGUCCCUUCAGUCCAGAGAGAAGCCCAGAGGCUGUGCCGGCUGUAAUGGGAAAAUCCGGGACCGCUUCAUGCUGCAGGCCUUGGACCGGUUCUGGCACGAGGACUGUCUGAAGUGCGCCUGCUGUGACUGCCGCCUGGGCCGGGUGGGGUCCACGCUUUACACCCGCUCCAACCUCAUCCUCUGCCGCAGAGACUACCUCAGGCUCUUUGGGGUGACGGGGAACUGUGCAGCGUGCAGUAAGCUGAUCCCCGCCUUUGAGAUGGUGAUGAGAGCCAGAGACAACGUCUACCAUUUAGACUGCUUCGCCUGUCAGCUCUGCCGCCAGAGAUUUUGCGUGGGAGACAAGUUUUUCCUCAAGAACAACAUGAUCUUGUGCCAGCUGGACUAUGAAGGAGGCCAUCUUAAUGGUAGCUCUGAGAGGCAGCCUCAAUAAGAGGUAAUAUUCUGAUGACGAUGAAUUGCAGCCUCAACCAGCUGACAGAAUGAGAUGAAGAGAAGGAACCACAGCGAGGAGGCCGAACCCUGGACUGACACCAGAGCUCUCUCCUCUUCUGCAUCUUCCUCAGACUGAACUCUGAUGCUGCUCUCACUUCCCUCCCAAACGCCUCAUGGAUGAAGUUCAGCCAAUCAGGCCACACAGAUUCAGCCGCUUCGUCCGCUGAGGAGGAGCGGCCAGUCCUCUGUGGUUGUCCCGUUGUUCUGGCAGACGAGCGUCUGCUCCAGUCAACCGACCCCUCUUCCCAACAGGGACUUGUAACGGAUAAAAACUCGUUUCCAACUGUUUCUGGAAAGGAUGAAAAGCUGGUCACGCUUUCUGCCUCUGCACCCAGUAGACUUCAGACCCUCGUUAUUUAAUUCUUUCCUUUAAUCUCAAACUGAUUUUUCUUGACUUAUUAAAGUUGACUUUUAUCAACUG